CUACGGGACGCUCCAGUGAGGAAUAUUGCACAAUGGGCGAAAGCCUGAUGCAGCAAUGCCGCGUGGAGGAAGACAGCCCUCGGGUUGUAAACUCCUUUUAUUUAGGAAGAUUAUGACGGUACUAAGUGAAUAAGAGCCUGCUAACUACGUGCCAGCAGCAGCGGUAAUACGUAGGGCUCGAGCGUUAUCCGGAUUUAUUGGGCGUAAAGAGUUCGUAGGCGGAUAGGCAAGUCGAAUAUUAAAUAUCUUGGCUUAACCAAGGGAAAGUGUUUGAUACUACCUGUCUAGAGAAUGGCAGAGGCAGAUGGAAUUCUCGGUGUAGGGGUAAUAUCCGUAGAUAUCGAGAAGAACACCAAAGGCGAAGGCAGUCUGCUGGGCCAUUUCUGACGCUGAGGAACGAAAGCGUGGGGAGCGAACGGGAUUAGAUACCCGAGUAGUC
rnacentral:rRNA from 1 species